rnacentral:misc_RNA from 1 species
UUUCCGUAGGUGAACCUGCGGAAGGAUCAUUAUUGGAUUUUGAAACUUCAGGCUGCUGCUGGCUCUCCUCGGAGGGCAUGUGCACGCUUGUUGUCCAUUAUUUCUCCCACUGUGCACAAAUUGUAGACCUUUCAGUAGGCCUAUGUUGUUUUUCACAAUCUCUGAAUGUAAUAGAAUGGUUUUGAAUCUUGGGAAAUACAAUACAACUUUCAGCAACGGAUCUCUUGGCUCUCGCAUCGGUGAAGAACGCAGC